rnacentral:rRNA from 1 species
UAGGGAAUCUUCCACAAUGGACGCAAGUCUGAUGGAGCAACGCCGCGUGAGUGAAGAAGGUUUUCGGAUCGUAAAGCUCUGUUGUUGGUGAAGAAGGAUAGAGGCAGUAACUGGUCUUUAUUUGACGGUAAUCAACCAGAAAGUCACGGCUAACUACGUGCCAGCAGCCGCGGUAAUACGUAGGUGGCAAGCGUUGUCCGGAUUUAUUGGGCGUAAAGCGAGCGCAGGCGGAAUGAUAAGUCNGAUGUGAAAGCCCACGGCUCAACCGUGGAACUGCAUCGGAAACUGUCAUUCUUGAGUGCAGAAGAGGAGAGUGGAACUCCAUGUGUAGCGGUGGAAUGCGUAGAUAUAUGGAAGAACACCAGUGGCGAAGGCGGCUCUCUGGUUUGCAACUGACGCUGAGGCUCGAAAGCAUGGGUAGCGAACAGGAUUAGAUACCCUGGUAGUCCAUGCCGUAAACGAUGAGCG